AAUAAACCAAUUUUUCACUUUUUACCUUCAAUUUUUAACUCUUCGUUUUAUUUAAUUUUUUUUACGAUUGAUAUUUUUGUUUUUAUUAGAUGAUAAAUUAUGAAUAGUACUUUACGUGUGACUAAAUUUUUUUAAUUUCCUGAAAUUUUUUCAAAUAAAACAAAUGGUCAAACGUUGGACAGGGAAAUCAGAGAAUUCGUUUUUU
rnacentral:pre_miRNA from 1 species